rnacentral:rRNA from 1 species
UACGUAGGGUGCAAGCGUUUAAUCGGAAUUACUGGGCGUAAAGCGUGCGCAGGCGGUUUUGUAAGUUUGUCGUGAAAUCCCCGGGCUCAACCUGGGAAUGGCGAUGAAGACUGCAAGGCUAGAAUCUGGCAGAGGGGGGUAGAAUUCCACGUGUAGCAGUGAAAUGCGUAGAGAUGUGGAGGAACACCGAUGGCGAAGGCAGCCCCCUGGGUCAAGAUUGACGCUCAUGCACGAAAGGCGUGGGGAGCAAACGAGGAUACGAAACCCAGUAGAUCC